GNGGGGAUUUGGACAUGGGCGAAGCCUGUCCAGCAAUGCCGCGUGUGUGAAGAAGGCCUGCGGGUUGUAAAGCACUUUUAUCAGGGAAGAAACGGCCUGGGCUAAUACCCCAUGGCAAUUGACGGUACCUGAAGAAUAAGCAUCGGCUAACUCCGUGCCAGCAGCCGCGGUAAUACGGAGGAUGCAAGCGUUAUCCGGAUUCAUUGGGUUUAAAGGGUGCGUAGGCGGUGGAAUAAGUCAGUGGUGAAAGCCCGGGGCUCAACUCCGGGAUUGCCAUUGAAACUGUUUCACUUGAGUGUAGUCGAGGACGGCGGAAUGAGUUAUGUAGCGGUGAAAUGCAUAGAUAUAACUCAGAACACCGAUUGCGAAGGCAGCUGUCUAGGCUACAACUGACGCUGAGGCACGAAAGCGUGGGGAGCGAACAGGAUUAGAUACCCUGGUAGUCCACGCUGUAAACGAUGAUCACUCGUUGCUGGUCACCUAGUGACCAGUGACUGAGGGAAACCAUUAAGUGAUCCACCUGGGGAGUACGUCGGCAACGAUGAAACUCAAAGGAAUUGACGGGGGCCCGCACAAGCGGAGGAACAUGUGGUUUAAUUCGAUGAUACGCGAGGAACCUUACCUGGGCUUAAAUGCAGGCUGCAUUGGGUGGAAACACCCCAUUUCCUUCGGGACUGCCUGCAAGGUGCUGNAUGGUUGUCGUCAGCUCGUGCCGNGAGGNGUCGGGUUAAGUCCAUACGAGCGCAACCCUUAUCGUUAGNUGCCAGCACAUAGNGGGGGGACUUUA
rnacentral:rRNA from 1 species